CCCCACAAUCCCAGUCCACCCUAUCUCAGAACAAUUUCAAAUGCAGGGGAGGAUCAGAGAUGAAGAUGUUACUCCAAAAGUAUACAUGCAAAGAUGUUCUGGAAGUGCUACUUCUUAACUUGUCUGGUCUUAUAGUCUGUGGUUGAAAGAGUCCUCCAUGGAGAAGUCUACUGCCGAAGUCCACUGAUUUUCACUGCCGUAUGAUAUUCCAUCGUGUGGCACGUGGAACAAUCAGGAUCAUAUUUCAACAUGAGAUCCCCACGUUGAUGUCUCAGUCUUGGGUAGACAUGGUAGGGCUGGUAGGAAGUGGUCUAAUGACUUCCAUUCCUCUGUUGGAACAUUUGGGUUGCUUUUGGGUGUUUUGUUAUUAAAAACACUGCUGCUGCUA
rnacentral:lncRNA from 10 species